UACGUAGGUGGCGAGCGUUGUCCGGAUUUACUGGGCGUAAAGCGCGCGCAGGCGGACUGAUCAGUCUGGGGUGAAAUCUCACGGCUCAACUGUGAGCGGUCCCUGGAUACUGUCAGUCUUGAGAUGUCUAGAGGAGAGCGGAAUUCCCGGUGUAGUGGUGGAAUGCGUAGAUAUCGGGAAGAACACCAGUGGCGAAAGCGGCUCUCUGGGGACCAUCUGACGCUGAGGCGCGAAAGCGUGGGGAGCGAACCGGG
rnacentral:rRNA from 1 species